GGCCUUGGCCUCCAACAGUGUGUUGUCGGUGUUGACUCCCAGCGGGGACCGGCGGAGCAGCAACCCACCUCCCGCCAUAGGGGUCGGCUAAUCUGGUCCCAUUGGUUAACGUUAACUUUCUCAGCUAACACUCGUGAUCCUGGAGACCCAACUCACCAGUCCGAUGAGCAGCAGGAGCAGCAGCAGCAGAACCAGAGCAGCCAGGACCAGCAGAGCGAUCCCCCAUCCCGGUACGCCGCCACUGGCCGGGGACGGGGUCGUGCUCUGCGAUGUGAUUGGUUUACUCGGGGAAACAGAAACAGGAAGUCCAACAGUUUGUGACAAAGAUCUCAGUGUGAGCGGCUGCUGGAGUCUGUUUCCACCCAGAGAAAGAGUCCUUUAUACACCUGCCUCACCUGCACACAGGUGGAG